rnacentral:rRNA from 1 species
UACGGGGGGAGCAAGCGUUGUUCGGAUUUACUGGGCGUAAAGGGCGCGUAGGCGGUCAGCACAAGUCAGUUGUGAAAUCUCCGGGCUUAACUCGGAAAGGUCAACUGAUACUGUGCGACUAGAGUGCGGAAGGGGCAACUGGAAUUCUCGGUGUAGCGGUGAAAUGCGUAGAUAUCGAGAGGAACACCUGCGGCGAAGGCGGGUUGCUGGGCCGACACUGACGCUGACGCGCGAAAGCCAGGGGAGCGAACGGG